GGAGUUGUGGUUUAGUGGUAGAGCACUUGCCUGGCAUGUGUGAGGCACUGGGUUCAAUUCUCAGCACCA
rnacentral:tRNA from 1 species